rnacentral:lncRNA from 1 species
UCUUUGGAAAGCCAGGCCCCACCUGCAUGGCGUCCAGCUUCUUCCCUGAAGGUUUCUCUUCAUACUCAUGAGGCCCAGAUCUGAGAUGAGAGGGCUCACCAGAGGGAAGAAAGCUGAGUUUUAGCACCUGGCAUGCUUGGAAGGAGGAGUUGCAAUUCAUGCUGAGAUCUCUAUCAUGCUGAGAUGCAACUAUCUGGUGUUUUUGAAGGCUCUCUUUGCUGUAGAGGUUUGAGGUGCAAAUACAGCGGGACCAGGCUCCUGUACACCUCCUUCCUCAUCUUCCUCUUUUCUGUGCCCUUCACAAAGCUCAGCGUUUUGAGGAAGAGGUGGAUGGAGAGCUGCCACAUCCUGCUGGACUCCUGUGGAGGAGGAGGGAAGGAUGUCAGUGUCAGCAGCUCCAAGCCCAAGGUGAGCAGGGCCAGCACCGCCAACCACAUGGGAGCAGAAUCUCUGAGCUGAGAGGCUGCAGGCAGAUCUUGAGGAUGGCCCCAAAACUGCUCCAAAGUGCACAAGCUCUGCCCUGCAGGGAGUCUGCCCAGGGACACACAGAGCCUGGAACAGGCGACCAGCCAGGAAGUUCCCUGGUGUGCUGUCACAGGGCAGCAGGCAUGGGCACACUGGGG